UAGCUCAGUUGGUAGAGCAUGGUGUUUGCAAUGCACAGGGUUGUGGGUUCGAUUCACAC
rnacentral:tRNA from 1 species